UACGUAGGGUGCAGGCGUUAAUCGGAAUUACUGGGCGUAAAGCGUGCGCAGGCGGUUUGCUAAGACAGGUGUGAAAUCCCCGGGCUUAACCUGGGAACUGCGCUUGUAACUGGCAAGCUUGAGUGUGGCAGAGGGGGUGGAAUUCCGACGUGUAGCAGUGAAAUGCGUAGAGAUGUGGAGGAACACCGAUGGCGAAGGCAGCCCCCUGGGCUAACACUGACGCUCGAUGCACGAAAGCGUGGGGAGCAAACAGG
rnacentral:rRNA from 1 species